CCGGGAGGGAUAAACCCUGAGUCUCCGGAGCCGCGCUAUCCGCACGGGUUCAAGACCCCCUCGGCGCACCCGUGGGGACUGCUCUCCAUUCAACUCUCUACAAGUUCUGAAGCUCCCCUCACCAUCAUUUCUUUGAAGGCUUAAAUACCUCCGGGGACAAGGAACCCUCUGCUCUGUGUGCUCUCCAUUCGCUGUUUGAUGGUCAACAUUACUGAAAAGUAUUUCCUUCCAACUGUUCAUUGGUUUUAACUUCUGGACUUUACACAAUAAAUCCGAUCUAACUUCCACAUGUUUUUGGUGAUAGUUUGGGGAGUUCAACAGCCUGGUAGUCCCACCAAGAGCCCAUUGAUACCUCUCUUGCUGCGUGAAGCCCAAGACCCUCAAUUCAGGAAUAAGGGAGCCACUGGGGCCUACAGUGAUGGGGAACUUCCCUAAAGACACUUCAGUUGUUCAAUGGAAAGCAUCAGGAGACAGUUCGCACCGUAAGAUUCUUUGAAUCCUUCUCCUCAAAAUCCUAGUCUUACUGCUUCCACCAAUGCUGGACUUUUGUAAACCCCUGCAUUGAAAGACCUGCCUUAAAUCAAACUUCCAAAUUCUCACUGACAAAGCCUUUCAAGAUGGUCUUCUCCUUUACCGGGUAAGCAAUGAACUCACCAUUGCUCUAUCUAUCUAUCUAUCUAUCUAUCUAUCUAACUAUCUAUCUAUCUUUGUCUUGCUGAUAUUUGGGGAGCCAACUGUUGUCCAGAGACUUGGAAGUAUAGUCUUUAUUUGGAUGCAUAAGUAAUCCAAAUAAAAUUGUGUGUUUGCUACUGAGGAGCAACGGGAUCCAAUUGCUGGGCUAGAUAACUAACGUUCUCUGCCACUGUACCCCAUUUUGCAGAUGAUUACCCUGAGACACAUAUAAGUAACCUAUCUAAAGUCUUCUAUUUACUAAGUAAUUCACCUGUGGAAUAUUGCUUUUUUUGUAGGCACUAGAUUUGUCAAUGUUGUAUGAGGGUAAUACCUGUGUAUAGUAUUGUAUGUUGAUUCUGCUAAUGGUAAUUACUAUCUUGAAAAGACUAAAACUACAAGGAAAGUCUAGUGGAGAGUAACUACCUUGAACUUUUAGAAACAACUUAAUCUCAUUUAGAGAAAUCAGAUCUUUCAGAAUAAGAUAUACUUUAUUCAAUACAAAUUAAUCAGAAUUAUAGAAGAUAAAAUAUACAAGUAUACAAGGGAGGAAAAAUAAUUUAAGGGCUUAUAUUUAUUGUGCAGAGAAGUGUAUAGAGAGGUUGAAUGUGCCUAGGUAGAUUCAGGUCUGGGGUGGGAGUGUAACAUUUAGCAAUAUGGGUUCCUGAGGAAGAAAAUGAAUUCGCAGAAUGCUAAUCAUCCUUUCUUCCUUCUGUAACGCUACUAAAAGCUUACAUCCUUCCUCUUUAUAGAGGCUGUGUGGUGUGAGUGUGUGUGCCCCUUAUUAAAUGUAAGUAUUUGUUGGGAGAGAGUAAUAUUCCUGUUUCCUUCCCAUUAAUAAAAAAUAAAACAAAAAUGUAGAGUUCAUAGAGUCUAGGGAACACAUUCAGUAAGUGCUUCCACUCCUAAUUGCUUCUGGUGUCUCUUAAGAUUCCAAGAUGUUCUCUCCUUUUAGGGAUAAUCUGGUUACACAUUAAACUUUCCAGUCAUAAGAAGAUAUUCCCAGAUGAAGUGUUUGCACCCAAAAUUCUGGUAAAAGUAUCAUAUGGUGGCUUAGUUUGAAAAGAAAUCAUAGGAGAAGGAGGCCAAUUUCUGUUUAAUUAAGAAAUUUCCAGACUUGAAAGAAGGUGUUAAAGGCCAGUGGAAAUUGGCAAGACCUUGAGAAAAAAGGCCCAGCACUUGAAGAAGAUUGCAAACCUCUGUCAGUUCUACAGGUACGAGAUGAGCCAGGAGGGUGAUGCUUUUCAGGAAUGCACUCUUCCGAAGGCACCAACACAUACAUCUUGAUCAAUAUGUAGAAUAUGCUUUCUUUAAAUAAGAAUACAUACAUAAAUAAGAAUACAUAAAUAUAUAUAUAUAUAUAUUUAAUUUUAGUGUGAUGUUUAUCCAGGGGAAUAUCAAGAGAAAGUUCAGGUUCUAUAACAAACUCUAGACCAGGUCAUAUUUAGGUACGAGUAUGAGACAUAGUUAAUUUAAGACUGUUCCUUUCCAAGCUCCCAAAAAGAAAAGAAAAUUCUUACUAGAAAGUAUAAAGACUUUCCUCUAUAAGUAUGUAAGAGAUCAUUAUUAUUGGGUCAAUAGACACUUCUACUCAUACUACAAACUACACCAGUGCACCAAGUGCAUAGUGCAAACACAAUGAAAGGGUUUUUUAGCCACAUAAAACUUAGUGUAUGUUGUUUUGAAUUUAGUGUUUUUAAUUUUGUCAAAUUCUUUACCAAAAUGUUUUUAAACCUUUGCCAAAUAUGCUCAUAUUCAAAGACUUGAACCAAAGACACAAAGGCAGAGAACCACUUAUGGAAGUAUCACAAUGCAUAGCUUAGAAAAAAAUUUUUUAAAAGCCUAUAAUACUGUAUAAUACGGGGUCUGAUCAUAUAGUUAUAACUCCAUCAUUGCUAAUACUUUUAUAGCUUAUAUAAUGAGAUAAUGGAGAAACAAGAACAGAAAAUUACUGGAAUUCUCAAAUUGGCUUGAAGAUCAGUUUUAGUGUUUAUACCAACACAUUAUAUUUCUUUUCUAUCCAUAAGUUUGUCAAUGAUGAACUACUAUAGUCAGCAAUCUGGGCCAAAAUGUUGUCUUCACUAUGUUUUUUGACACAAGCAUCUGUUGCCUACUUUAAAUACAUUCAUGCUAGAAUUAUUUAUUUUAUGUUAUAUAUUUUUAACACUUUUCAUAAUGUCAGUGACUGGUUUUAGAAUAAAGAGGCAAACUGUCCUACACAUUGCUAUUUUCUAUAAAGUGUUUUGUAAAAUUAAUUCAACAUCCUCUCUUGACUUAAAAAAUAAGAAAACAAAAUAAUAGAAUGUUAGCCAAAAAACAAAUCCUUAACUAGCUCACAGAAACCUUUGAUUGGAUCAGACAUGUGUAGUGAUUUUCCUUAGAAGAUGUCAGAGAAAAUGGUGCAGUAAGGAAUUUAAAAGCCGAUCCUUUCAUAAAAGCAACAAAAAUCCUGGCAAAAAUGAUCAGAAUCAAAAUUUUCAUCAAUCUGGACUCUGAAUAGCUUGAAGCAGCCAAUGGAAUGCUUAAUCAAGAAAAAAAAAUGGCUGAAUUUCAGUAAGAACACAGAACAUUGUGAUGUUUUAACUUACUCUGGUCCCCUUCUGUACUCACCACCUUGGUGGUGGCCUUGAAGAUAACAGCCCACAUUCUCAGAACAGAUGUCAGCACUGGAGGGAGCAGAAUGGACCUCAUUUGCAAAGAGUUGUGGUUGUUGGUUUUGACUUGAAUUGUGGCUCCCUGGAGGACUCAUUAAAAAGACAUUGUUUUCAAAAACAUUAACAGGUAAAUGUGUUAGUUGCUGCUGCCUCAAGCAAUGGAUGAAAGUGGAGGGAAAAAAGUAGACUAACCAAAAAGCUCAGGAAGAAAGUCUAGAGAAUAAGAUCCUUUGAGGAAUAAGGACUUUGAAAAGCUCUGAUGUAUUCCUGGGAAUCUACAAAGCCAUGCACAUGCUCAGGAAAGACCUGAGAAGGCCCUCAGCUCCCACCACUGACUGACCUUCAAGCUCUGCAGAGGAAGGAAGUGAAAGCUAAAGCAGAGUUCAAACUGCCCGGCUGAGUGUUAAAGACUUUCCUCGACACACACACAGAGUGGAUCUGCAAACACUGUCCAAUCACUAGCUGACCACUAAACUGACAGAAGAGGGACUUCAAUGACCAAACAUGACAAAGAAUAAAGACUUUACAAAGUUAGGUCAGAAAAAUAACUGAACAAACAACAGCUAAAAUAAGUAGCAGAAAACAAACCCUGGGCAGGGGAGAGAAUCAGAUUUCAAGAGUUGCCACAUAAUAAUAUUUUAAAUGUUCAGUUUUAAAAAAAAUUAUGAGGCAUGCAAAGAAACAAAAACAAAUGGCAAUACACAGGAAAAGAGCAAUUAAUAGAAUAGGAAGCUCAGAUGUUGAAUGUAAUACAUAAAGUCACCUAUUUUUAAUUUAUUCAAAUAGAUAAAGGAAACCAUGGCCAAAGAACGAAAGGAGAGCAUGAGAAUUAUGUCUCACCAAAUAGAAAGUAUCAAUGAAGAGAAAGAAAUCAUAAAAAGGAUCUAAAGAGAAAUUCUGGGACAGAAAAGUAUAAUAAUUGAAGUGAAAAAUUCACUACAAGGGCUCAACAACAGAACUGAGCAGGAAGAGGAAAAAUGAAUGAGCUUGAAGAUAGGUCAGUUGAGACUGUCCAUUCAAAGUAACAGAAAUAAAAAGAGAAUGAAGGAAAAUGAACAGAGCCUAAAAGAGGAGUGAGAUACCAUAAGCAUAUCCACAUAGAUACAAUAGAUGUCCAAGAAGAAAAGAGAGAGAAAGGGGGCAGAAUGAAUAUUUGAAGUAGUAGUAGAAAACAAGGACACGUCAUACUCAAACUGUUGAAAACCAAAGACAAAGAGAGAAUCUUGAAAUUGGCAGGAGAGAAGCAAUUUGUCACAUAUCAGAGAAGAAUCUUCAAUAAAAGAAUAACAUCUGAUUUUUCCUCAGAAACCAUGGAGGCCAGAGGCAAUGGGAUAAUGUAUUCAAAGUACUGA